AUGGUCUGGAAAACGGAGACCAACCGCGCUGACUACCUGGAAGCACUGAGACUCCGGACAGCGCCUCUCAGGGUCCAGGAAAGGCACCGCGAUCUGCUUCAGCACCAGGGCUCCGGACAGCUCCUAAGGCUCCCAGGGGGCGACCUCAUUUCAGAACCAGGACACUGGACAGCUUCACUGCUACAGGGAAGCCCUUGUACCCAGAUGGGGGAACAGAGUGCUCUGAAGUGCCUGACGCUUUGGGAGACUUGCCCCUCGUGUAGUGGAUUUUUCAGUGAAUUAUUUUCCAGAUAAGCAGAUGAGAAGAAACCACCCACAGAAAUCCGUAAUUCCUAACAGGUUUGGAAAUACAAAUAUCUGACUCUGAACCCAGGACUCUUAACUGUCUCACUACACUUUCCUGGGAGAUCAAUGAGAAAAUCAUGUUUGAAGCCCUUCCUUGAUCAGGAUUCUAUGGAGACUUUUCAAUAAAAGUUCUGGGGAAUUUUUUACUCCCCUACCU
rnacentral:lncRNA from 1 species